CGAUGUCUAAUGUAAUCUACAGUCUCUUUACCUUCAUCUGUUUACUCUCAAGAGGCAAUUCGCAGAACCCUGAGAGCAUUUUGUGCGAUUAAAAAACAAAGGCUUGUGAUAUGUCAUUUCUAUAAUUGCCCGUUAUUUCUAUAAAGAGGUCGUGACACACAUAUGCAAUGGAAGUCUUCACAACGAGGUGAAUGGAGUUCCCUUGUCUGGCAAAUCAGGCCUUAAAAUAUCGGUCGGUCACGGACAUUGUCCGACCCAUUCGUCAAAUUGUCCGACGUAGAAAUAAAACCACCGG